rnacentral:rRNA from 1 species
UCGGGAAUCUUGCACAGUGGGCGAAAGCCUGAUGCAGCAACACCGUGUGAGCGACGAAGGUCUUCGGAUCGUAAAGCUCUGUUGUUGGGGACGAAGGGCGAAGGGUUAAUAGCCCCUAGCCUGACGGUACCCUUCGAGGAAGCCCCGGCUAACUACGUGCCACCAGGCGCCGUAAUACGUAGGGGGCGAGCGUUGCCCGGAAUUAUAGGGCGUAAAGAGCGUGUAGGCGGUUCGGUAAGUCUGCCGUGAAAACCUGGGGCUCAACCCUGGGCGUGCGGUGGAUACUGCCGGGCUAGAGGAUGGCAGAGGCGAGUGGAAUUCCCGGUGUAGCGGUGAAAUGCGCAGAUAUCGGGAGGAACACCAGUAGCGAAGGCGGCUCGCUGGGCCAUUCCUGACGCUGAGACGCGAAAGCUAGGGGAGCAAACAGGAUUAGAUACCCCCGUAGUCC